UACGCUGGCGGCACGCCUAACACAUGCAAGUCGAACGCAGUAGCAAUACUGAGUGGCAAACGGGUGAGUAUAAUGUGGGAAUCUGCCUUUUGGUUUGGAAUAACACGGGGAAACUUGUGCUAAUACCGAAUAAGCCCUUACGGGGAAAGUUUUAAUGCCGAAAGA
rnacentral:rRNA from 1 species